CCCAUACUAUUACCAUAACAAAUCUAUCACUCACACAUGAAAAUUGAAAAAUACAGCCACACAUAAUCUAAGAUCACUAGACAUGCCCUUUCUGUUAUUCAUCUCACAACUUAUGUAAAAAUGGUACAAUAUUCAUCCAUUAACACAAAAAAUAGAGAUUCAUGUAGGAACCAAACAUUUCUACAUUGACCUUAUCUCUAAAUGAGAAUAUGUGCAUGUAUUCAUCUUUAAAGUACAUAAAAGAUUUCAACACAUUAAUGACCCAAUAAUAAACACACCCAUUUUCUCACUUUAGAAGAGAUCAACACAAGAUUAUUGAUCCUAGUCCAUAAAGAAUGUUUAUCUAGGUAUAGGUAGCAAAGAACAAUGAUAUAUCCUCUUCAUAAAUAUCAUUCUAGUCACAAGAAAAUGACAUAUAUCAUUUGUAAAUAAAUCAUUAAUAAACAAAAUAUUACUUUGUGACAUAUAUCCGGAUAUAUCAUUUUCCGGUAAUAAAACAAAUGAAUUUCACUUUUUUCUUGUUCCUCCAUUUUUUUCUUCAUAUUUUCACUUGGAAGUGGGAAGAUUAGUGAUGAUGAGGAUCUGGGCCACCAGGACUAAGUCGAUUGAUCUCAUAUUUUGUUCCCAACAAAAGCUUCCUCCUUCUUAUGAUUUCCUUAAACACUUCUUUGGCACUUUCCUUAAAUGCAUGGUUUUGAUUAUUGUUAGAGAGUGAAGAAGAAAUACUAUGAGCUUCUUGGCAGAACAACAUUGAUAUGAAGAAAAUGAUAAAGCAUAACAUCUUCAAGCUUGCCAUAGAAACUGCUUCCACAUUCAAAGUUUCAAGCUAUAAAAAUGGUGGGGGGACUCUAAGU
rnacentral:lncRNA from 1 species